rnacentral:lncRNA from 1 species
UGGAUUUUCUCCACCCCAGGGCCAGCAGCCACACUUCCCAACCACCACAGGGGACAAUUCAAAAGAAACAAACACCCAAAAGGUGGAAUCAUUGCGUGAGAUUGUUACUCAAUAGGAUCAUCUAAGCAAAUGCCUAGGCUGGCCCUACAUUUUCACUCUCUGGGUGUAAUUCCUGUGUAGAAACUUGCAUAAUUGGUCUUUCUCUCCCUGAGGAACCAGAACUUUAUCUGGGAAUUCCUGUUUUCAUGCGUGGGGCCUGGAUCCAUAAACAAGCUUAUUCCCGUGUGCAGGUCUUCAGGGACAUCAGACACAGGUAAAUUUCUUCAGCAUGCCUCCUGCAGAACCUUCACAGUGGGUCUCAGCAGAUCUCUGGACAGGUCUAGGUAAGUUUAGAUUGAGCUAAUGCCAUCUCCCUGCAAGUCCAUAAGUCUUCACCAGAUGUCUACGUGCCAUGGGUCUCAUCUAUCACCUCUGCUUUCCAAAUGGCUAUUUUCAAAAGCCAUCUCAAUGGAAAUGAAAAAAAAAAUGCUUUUAAGGAAACCAUUGAAGAAAAGAACUACAAGCUCUGAAACAGAAAGCACUAUGGGAGGCACUCAGGACUUGCACACAGUAGGGACGGAGAUUGGCUGCCCACAGGGAGGGGCUGUGCUUCCAAGAGGAGUCAGGCUACAGCUCAGCUACUUCUUCACAGUUUCCAGGAGGAGGAGAAGUCAGCUAUCCAGGUGCCCAGGAGGAAAUGUAGGAUUUGGAGGUCACCUCCACCCAUUUGCUAUGAGUAAAUGUGCAGUGUUCUCAGUAUGA